GAUGGCAAAGAAGGAGGAGGGGGUGGCUGUGUUGUCACCAAGAGCGAAUAAGGAGGGAUGUCAUCGAGGGUGGAGGAGCAGAAGUGGGAAGGGCUAGUUUGUUGGCUGCAGAAGCAGAAGAGGCUGAGGUGAUAGAAGCAGAAAAACAGUGAAGGUGGAGGAGCCCUCCAUCCCCAUUAUGGUUGUAGUGAUCAUAGCCAUCCUAGUCGCUGUUAUGGCGCUCAAUCUUGUCCAAAAAUCAUGAUUAUUAUCCUUAGCUCCUUCCUCACUUAGGCGUCCAAUGAUAUGAUUCUCAUUGGUCGGCCAUCGUCAAGCUCCUAGCCACUUCGUUCACGACCAUCAUUGGUGACACCUUAGAGGAGGAUGAGAAUGAAGAGGACUGCCCUCAAGUCAUUCAUGGUGCCAUAGAGGAGGAGCAGAAAUAAAUGAGGACGAGGGCUUGCCAC
rnacentral:lncRNA from 1 species